rnacentral:rRNA from 1 species
GUCUACAGCCAUACCACCCUGCACAUGCCCAAUCUCAUCUGAUAUCGGAAGCUAAGCAGGGUCUGGCCUGGUUAGUAUUUGGAUGGGAGAGAAAGAGAGGAAGAGGCAGAAA